rnacentral:misc_RNA from 1 species
GAUGAAGAACGCAGCGAAAUGCGAUAAGUAAUGUGAAUUGCAGAAUUCAGCGAAUCAUCGAAUCUUUGAACGCACCUUGCACCCUUUGGUAUUCCGAAGGGUAUGCUCGUUUGAGUGUCAUUGUACUCUCACACUUCUAAUUCCUUUCGGGAUUGGGAGCGGUGGACUUGGGUGUUGCUGCUUUAGUUGUGGCUCACCUCAAAUAAGUUAGUGCAACUCUUGGUUGGACAUAGUACGGCGUGAUAAGUGUCUUCGCCGGCGCCUCUGUAAGGAGGGUGGCCGAUCGGGAGCUCUGUGCUUCAAACCGUCUUCGGACAAUCUUUGACAACUUGACCUCAAAUCGAGUAGGACUACCCGCUGAACUUAAGCAUAUCAAUAAGCGGAGGA